rnacentral:rRNA from 1 species
CGGGAACCGGAGCUAAUACCGGAUAAUAUUUCGAACCGCAUGGUUCGAUAGUGAAAGAUGGUUUUUGCUAUCACUUAUAGAUGGACCCGCGCCGUAUUAGCUAGUUGGUAAGGUAACGGCUUACCAAGGCGACGAUACGUAGCCGACCUGAGAGGGUGAUCGGCCACACUGGAACUGAGACACGGUCCAGACUCCUACGGGAGGCAGCAGCC